rnacentral:rRNA from 1 species
AUUGAGGAGGUCCCUUUCAUGUCUUGGCUAAUCUGGAAGCUAAGCUGAAUUGGACCUGGUUAGUACUUGGAUGGGAGACUUCCUGUAAACCAGGUGCUGUCAGUU